AAAGUAUUCAGUUCGAUCUGUGACUGCAAAGAGAAUAGUCGUGUUUGCUUUUACUAUUGAAGACAGAAUACCCACGGAGUCAAAUAGUUUAACCUUUUAGUAAACGGUUAUACAAGAACAUAAUAAGUGGCGACGAAGCGGCCGGUAGUGUCCAUAUCUUGGUGGUACAAAGCCUGCAAUACAUCAGUUAAGUCUAUUGUGUGGCGCACAAAGACCGCGUCUCCAUUAUCUGCGAGUUCAGCGGCACAGCGAGAGGGGAUCAGAGAUUCCUAGUGAGUGAGCAGUGAGGAUACAAGUGAGUCGUGAGUAAGGCCUCCGGCUGUGACUCCAUACUGUUUAAGCUCAAAGGUUGCUAUCGACUGUGUGAGUGCAUCUGCAUAUAAAUCACCUCCUCAACAUUGACCGACAACCAUCAUGGCACACCGGAGCCAACUGAAGCUCCCGAUCACCCAAAGCCGGAGCUCACGACUGGUACUUCCUGAGCCCCAGAGAAGAAAGCGUAGUCGUUCAGAACCAGACGAGGUGGAGUUCCGAGGCUGGAUUGAGGCUGAGGAAAGACCAUUUUUAGGGCUUCCUGAAGACACGGACUAUGGCAAUUCUGCAAAUGCGAAGCGCCGUAAACCAGACAACAGCAUGAUAAUGACAAGAAGCCGUACCCGCAUGCAAGAGGAGAAAAGUGUGAAAUGAAUCAUCUAAUUUUCAAUUGAAAUUUCAAAGCAUGUAAUGCGAUCUGAAUUGUUAGUUAGUUCAACAAAAGUUCUAGGACUUGAAAAGAACACUCUGAAUUUUUUAAAUUAGUUAAUUUAAGUUGUACAAUUGUAUACUCUUAUCUAAAGAGGGAAGGACUGUAGCGUACUACGCAGUACGCAUUCGAUUAGUUGAACUAAUGCUCUCGGGUGAACAGAAAAACCCAUCUGUGUUUCAAAGUGAGAAGAUGUAAUAAAGUAUUCAGUUCGAUCUGUG